GAUGAACGCUGGCGGCGUGCCUAAUACAUGCAAGUCGAGCGAACAGACGAGGAGCUUGCUCCUCUGACGUUAGCUGCGGACGGGUGAGUAACACGUGGAUAACCUACCUAUAAGACUGGGAUAACUUCGUGAAACCGGAUCUAAUACCGGAUAAUAUAUUAAACCGCAUGGUUCAAUAGUGAAAGACGGUUUUGCUUUCACUUAUAAAUGCAUCCCCGCCGCAUUAUCUAGUUGGUAAGGGAACGGCUUAUCAAGGCAACGAUGCGUAGCCGACCUGAGAGGGUGAUCGGCCACACGGGAACUGAGACACGGUCCAGACUCCUACGGGAGGCAGCAGUAGGGAAUCUUCCGCAAUGGGCGAAAGCUUGACGGAGCAACGCCGCGUGAGUGAUGAAGGUCUUCGGAUCGUAAAACUCUGUUAUUAGGGAAGAACAAAUGUGUAAGUAACUAUGCACGUCUUGACGGUACCGAAUCAGAAAGCCACGGCUAACUACGUG
rnacentral:rRNA from 1 species